rnacentral:rRNA from 1 species
CCAGCGGAGGGAUCAUUACCGAGUUUACAACUCCCAAACCCAUGUGAACAUACCUACUGUUGCUUCGGCGGGAUUGCCCCGGGCGCCUCGUGUGCCCCGGAUCAGGCGCCCGCCUAGGAAACUUAACUCUUGUUUUAUUUUGGAAUCUUCUGAGUAGUUUUUACAAAUAAAUAAAAACUUUCAACAACGGAUCUCUUGGUUCUGGCAUCGAUGAAGAACGCAGCGAAAUGCGAUAAGUAAUGUGAAUUGCAGAAUUCAGUGAAUCAUCGAAUCUUUGAACGCACAUUGCGCCCGCCAGUAUUCUGGCGGGCAUGCCUGUCUGAGCGUCAUUUCAACCCUCAUGCCCCUAGGGCGUGGUGUUGGGGAUCGGCCAAAGCCCGCGAGGGACGGCCGGCCCCUAAAUCUAGUGGCGGACCCGUCGUGGCCUCCUCUGCGAAGUAGUGAUAUUCCGCAUCGGAGAGCGACGAGCCCCUGCCGUUAAACCCCCAACUU